CCUUUUGUAUAAUGGGUCAGCGACUUAUAUUCUGUAGCAAGGUUAACCGAAUAGGGGAGCCGAAGGGAAACCGAGUCUUAACUGGGCGUUAAGUUGCAGGGUAUAGACCCGAAACCCGGUGAUCUAGCCAUGGGCAGGUUGAAGGUUGGGUAACACUAACUGGAGGACCGAACCGACUAAUGUUGAAAAAUUAGCGGAUGACUUGUGGCUGGGGGUGAAAGGCCAAUCAAACCGGGAGAUAGCUGGUUCUCCCCGAAAGCUAUUUAGGUAGCGCCUCGUGAAUUCAUCUCCGGGGGUAGAGCACUGUUUCGGCAAGGGGGUCAUCCCGACUUACCAACCCGAUGCAAACUGCGAAUACCGGAGAAUGUUAUCACGGGAGACACACGGCGGGUGCUAACGUCCGUCGUGAAGAGGGAAACAACCCAGACCGCCAGCUAAGGUCCCAAAGUCAUGGUUAAGUGGGAAACGAUGUGGGAAGGCCCAGACAGCCAGGAUGUUGGCUUAGAAGCAGCCAUCAUUUAAAGAAAGCGUAAUAGCUCACUGGUCGAGUCGGCCUGCGCGGAAGAUGUAACGGGGCUAAACCAUGCACCGAAGCUGCGGCAGCGACACUAUGUGUUGUUGGGUAGGGGAGCGUUCUGUAAGCCUGUGAAGGUGUGCUGUGAGGCAUGCUGGAGGU
rnacentral:rRNA from 1 species